CUUCAGCUAUUCUGGUGGAUCUGUAAUGGUAUCUAAUGUGCUUUCAAUCUUCUUUCCCUCAUGAUAGUAAGAAGCUGAUAUUUUAGAUGAUCCCCUUAUGAGUCCACUCCUGGAGGUCCACAACGGGGAACUGCUACACCCCCCAGUUCUGACGCGCUGGUGGAAAUCCCACCACCUUAUCCCUCCAGCCCUGUCCUACAUCCUCCACUACCAGAGAAAACCAGUCAUGCUUCCGAUGCCACUACACCUCUGGUUCUCUUGGGUAUGAUGAGCCUCUUUGGAGGAAUCCUUGGCCACCAGAUGUUAAUAUCACCAUGGUGUUUUGGAACCUGGACCCAAACUGCAUUCCCAGGAAUGCCUCCACUCUGUGCAUUUAUAAUGAAGACCAGACCCAAGAUGCCUUACAGGAUAGGGAUGGAAUGGACUAAAAGUUGGGCUAGAAUUGUUGGACUCUAUGGAAGCGAUGGGUAAAAGCCUCUUACUACACCAUCUCAUCUAAGCCAAGGGCAUAGAAUACUCCUGCACUUAACUAUUUUGAAUAUACUGAUGGCCCCUUGUACCCGUAUUGUGAUCAUAACUUGUCCCUUCCAUAGAUCUGGACAGCUGCUUCCUUGUUAAAUUCUUCUCUUCCCAGAUCUCUUGUUGCACCUUCAGGAUAUGUCUGCAUAUGUGGCGUUCCCCAA